rnacentral:rRNA from 1 species
AUUGAACGCUGGCGGCAGGCCUAACACAUGCAAGUCGAGCGGAUGAAGGGAGCUUGCUCCUGGAUUCAGCGGCGGACGGGUGAGUAAUGCCUAGGAAUCUGCCUGGUAGUGGGGUAUAACGUCUGGAAACGGCCGCUAAUACCACAUACUUCCUGCGGGAGAAGGUGGGGGGUCUUCGGACCUCACGCUCUGAGAUGGGCCUAGGCGGGAUUUGUUAGUUGGUGGGGUAAGGGCUUACCAGGGAGACGAUCGGUAACUGGCCGGCUAGGAGGAUCGGUCGCACUGGAACGGGGACGCGGACCAGGCGCCUACGGGAGGGAGCAGUGGGGAAUAGUGGACAGUGGGCGAAAGCCUGGUCCAGCCAGGCCGCGUGUGUGAAGAAGGUCUUCGGAUUGUAAAGCACGUUAAGUGGGGAGGAAGGGCAGUAAGUUAAUACCUUGCUGUUUUGACGUUACCAACAGAAUAAGCACCGGCUAACUUCGUG